GGAAUUACUGGGCGUAAAGACGCAUGCAGGCGGCCUGUUAAGUCAGAUGUGAAAGACCCGGGGCGUUAACCUCGGAAUUGCAUUUGAAACUGGCAGGCUAGAGUCUUGUAGAGGGGGGGUAGGAAGUUUACUAGGUGUAGCGGUGAAAUAGCGUAGAGAUCUGAAGGAAUACCAGUGGCGAAGGCGGCCCCCCUCGGACAAAGACUGACGCUCAGAUGCGAAAGCGUGGGGGAGCAAACAGGAUUAGAUACCCCUGGUAG
rnacentral:rRNA from 1 species